ensembl:lncRNA
UCUUCCCCCGGAGCUCACAGCCUCGGGUCCGCCCCCUUUGAACUCUGCGGGCUGUACCUGGAGGAGCCUGAGGGCCCAGGAGGAAAUCAAGAUGGCCGCACGAGGCGAGCGGAGGGACGCAGACGAGCAAUGCCAGAAGUCCACCACCGGAGUUUAAACUUGAUUGAAAGUGAACACUCUCCAGCCUCCACGUCUCCCUUGGCCUGCUUGCCUUUGGUUGCCUACCUGCAGCACAAGAAGGCUCGUGGAAGGGGGAACAGGGGACAGAAGAGACUUUUCCCUAACAGACACUUUUAUGAGACCUCUGCCUGUGGAGGAAAUGGCAGCCCACUCAAGUAUUCCUGCCUGGAGAAUCCCCUGAAUAGAGGAGCCUGGCGGGCUACAGUCCAUGGGGUCGCAAAGAGUCGGACACGACUGAAGCGACUUAGCAUGCAGCACGCAGGCCUGUCUUCAGGAGGUUGUGUGUGUGGGGGGUGAGGUGGGGCUGAUGCUGACACAUUCUCUCAUGGAAACCCUUCCAUCUCUGGGGACUCCCUGACAGACACCUCCACUGAACUGCUUUAUCACGGUCUGGGCCCUAGCUUUGGCGGAGCCUCUCCACCCGAGCCCGAGUCCCUGCCCCAGCCAGGAUAGUCAUGUGUGCCUACCAUCUCCUUUCCCUGGCAGACCAUGCCCUCUGGUGGGAUCCCUUCAAAGAUAAUCGCAGUCUGACGUCACAGCCAUAGUUUCCACAGCUAAUCCCCAGGGGUCAAAGAACUUGAUACAGGGCAAGUGCUGUUACUGCCCAGAGGCAGCUCUCAGCUCUGUUGUCAUCAGCUGCUCUCACUUCCUCAGGCUUGAGGUGGACCGCAGUCCCUGGGGCUGAGGAACAUCUAUUUCUCUCUCUCAGUGGUUCCAGGGAAGCCCCUCUCACCAGGCCUGGGUUCCAGAGGCUGAGCCAGCAUGCCCCUCUGCACAGGGAGUUGGGGGAGGCACGGAGGUGAGAAUGCUGCUCUCACC